UACGAAGGGGGCUAGCGUUACUCGGAAUUACUGGGCGUAAAGGGCGCGUAGGCGGCGCUCCAAGUUAGGCGUGAAAGUCCUGGGCUCAACCUGGGAACUGCGCUUGAUACUGGAGUGCUUGAGGAUGGAAGAGGGUUGUGGAAUUCCCAGUGUAGAGGUGAAAUUCGUAGAUAUUGGGAAGAACACCGGUGGCGAAGGCGGCAACCUGGUCCAUUACUGACGCUGAGGCGCGACAGCGUGGGGAGCAAGCAGG
rnacentral:rRNA from 1 species